GAAAUGCGAUAAGUAGUGUGAAUUGCAGAAUUCAGUGAAUCAUCGAAUCUUUGAACGCACAUUGCGCCCCUUGGUAUUCCAUGGGGCAUGCCUGUUCGAGCGUCAUUUGUACCCUCAAGCUCUGCUUGGUGGUGGGUGUUUGUCCCGUCUCCGCGCGUGGACUCGCCCCAAAGUGAUUGGCAGCCGGCGUACUGGUCCCGGAGCGCAGCACAUGUCGCGCAAACGAGUGCCUUGGUACGGCGGCGUCCAUAAGCCCCUCUCUCACGCUCUUGACCUCGGAUCAGGUAGGGAUACCCGCUGAACUUAAGC
rnacentral:misc_RNA from 1 species